ensembl:lncRNA
CAUCUGUGGGGUGUGGGAGGGAAAUGCACCGCCCAAAAUGAGAGCAAACACUGGGAUGAGGGCAGCAUGAAGGGAGAGACAGAACUCAGUGAGAAGCAGCCUGUCUCGCAGUCUUGCCAGAACUCCAAUGACAUGAAUGUGUGUGAAGAUUUUUUAUGUCAGCCACCUGUGUGACAGAAAUACGGUAGUAAUGUUUUCAUCCCACAGAUAAGCUACAUCGGUGUCUCCAGAGAGGGAACCGUAUGGUGGGUCUGGUACAAAGGUAAUCCUAUAAAACCCUGCGUGCAAGACAUGAAAUGCUGUUCCCGGAGCUGAUUUUCUCCCAGAGAGCCCUUCAAGCCACCAUCAUUCAGUACCACAUAACAGAGCCAUGAGGCAGACAGCCUCAGGACCAGUGGCAGGGCAGGCAGGGGGCAGCCUGUGGGGCAGACUCACUGCAAGGACUGGUUGGGACCUCUCCCCAGCCUGCAGCCCACCUCGGGGCCUGGCUGCAAGGGCAAUGGAUAAGGCACUAAGAAAUCAUUUGGAAAAAGAAGAUGUAUCUCCACUUUACCACUGAAUUGCUGCAGUCAGCAGAAUGUUAUCACUCUGCUCCGGGUCCCUUACAUAAGAAGUAGAGAUGAAGGCAAACUGGCCACUUAAGUAAAGUUACUAUUUGAGACUUAUUCAAUAAAAUACUAUGCGCAUACAAAUAAUUCUUGUGUGUCCAUUUCCCCCCAAGUCUUAUAACAGAGAUGAUUUUCCUGAAGCAGGGGCUGUAAAGAAGCCGAAACAGCAGAAACCCGGUAGUAAGAAUGUUCCAUUCAUCCACAGGCUCAGCCUGUGCAUCCCCACCUAAAAGCAACAUUCAGCCCAUUGUGACCCAAUGCUGCUCUCACAUAAGCUUGAGUGGUGAAAGAAGAGGUGUACGCCUCACAUGCAGACUGCUGCCUGAGAAAAUUAUCUAGUAACUGUUAUUAUAGGGCAUCUUUACGUUAAGGCUGGUCCAGGCUGUAGCGGGAACACUAAGCCAUGGCCUGAAACAGUGAUUGAGCACCUGGUGGAAGGCAGGGCCAACCCAGGGGCGCUCAGGUGCAUGCAGUGCACCUGAUUGACAGGGAGGGGUGAAGCCAGGAUCCACCCCUUCCCAGACCUCAUUUAAGGUUUGGCAGUGGGGGGGGGGUAAAGGCAUCUCUUUGGAGGUCCCUGCCUUCUGGACGCCUUCUGAAGGUAAGCAGGUGGUUUUUUUUUUUCUUCAUUUCUGUGUCUAUGGCUGUUGCAGCUUAGGAUUGUGGUGCUCUGCUAUUGUUGCUGUACCUUCUAUCACAUUACAGCAUUACAUAGGCCAGUGUAGCUGGUAGCAUGCCCUUGUGAGACACUGCCUGUUGAUCUGACCAUAUAGUAACACCAGUAACUGCCAGAAACUCGUGAUGGGCUUAAGCAAAGUGAAUUCUGCUGAGGAGACAGUGCACCUCUCAACCUAGUGGUUUCCUAUGUCCGGAACAGUCCCCAGGUAUGUUGUAGGGAAAGGCAUUUUAUCUGACCAGCUGUACAGCAUACAGGCACAAGCUGUAGCCAGCAUGUGUGCAAGCUCCUGGCUUGUCACAUGAGUCUGAGCAUUUCAACCCCCAGUGUACAAUGAGAGUUAGCAGGCUUUCAAGGUACCUUGCAUGAGCUCAGAUAUUGAUCAGCUCUGCUGCUAUUUGUAUUACAUGUGCUAUGCCCAGCAAAAAGCAUGCUUUCUGUUCUGAUUUCAUAUCUUUUGUUCACUAACUUCUAAUCAACAGAAGCAAAUAACUUCUCCUGUGUCAUCUCUAUUUUACAGUGCUAAAACCAGCUAUUUAUGUAGCUGCUCUGUGUGUAACUCUACAGACCAGAAUGCUCUUCUCGUGAAGGGCUUAUGGCCCAACUGCAUGUGGGAUUUGAGUGGCUAACUAGAAUCUCUGCAAGUUAUCUGUUGCUUCUUUAUAAGCCCCGCUUCCUUUCUUUACGUCCCCAUUUGGACUGGGGAUAAUGAACUUCCUGUAUCGUGCACUGCCACACAAGGAAACCCAUUGUAUGCGAACCAAGGAAGAGUAUAUCAGUGAGUGGUUUGUAAGGCAGCUCUGGCGGGUCUUGUUAGAAUGACUUAUUCUCAGAGUUCCAGUGGUUUGAUUAAGUGGAUCAUGUGAUAAGCACUUAUAAUGAACUUCUUCACAUGCUGCCAGGGGAAGCCCAGCAGAUAAAGUGCUUAAUCCCACGGCAUUGCUCUGUGCAUAACAAACUGAUUGCGAAGACAGAAGAGUCAUGCAAUUCAUUGGCUUCUCCUACCCAGGAUAGCACAACAGUGUUAUACAAUUUUCUUUCUGCUGCCCAAGUCAAAAUAUUCUUGCUACUAAAUCCAGUUCAAACUAGCACGCUUUUCCUCCCGCUGCUCACCAAGCUCUCAACCAGGCAGGUUACAGCUGAGUGUAACCACCUGCAGCAAGCCUAGGCAUGCUUCUGAGUGCUUUCUUUCUUGUUAAAGAAAACAGUCCCCCAGAAACAACAACAAACAAGAACCGAGCAUAAACUUCUGAGUAACCCCAGCUAGUCUGUUUUAAAAAUAAAAAUCUAGGUCAGCCUGAAUCACCACAGGGGUAAUCUUCAUUUCACUCCCGACAGUAGCAGAGGUCAACAAGGCAGCCUCACAAAGGGGCAUCUCUUGCAGUUUUGGCCCAAACCUGCGGGAUCAAUGACCAGGGAAGCAAACAUCAGAUGUGUUCUCUCUUUCUCCCCCCCAGCUGGUGGCUCACACUUUGCUUUACAAAACAUCCUGGCUGAGCCAUGAGGUGGGAUGUGCUCGUUCCGGCCCUGUCUGCUGGAACAAAUUGUGGUGCUGCUUCUCCAAGGCCAGUGCCAUAUCCCUGACUCCUCUGUAGCAAGGGUAUGACGGGGGGGUACCUUUAGGAAAGUCAUCGUCAGGUCCUGGGACUGAGAUGAGUGCCAGGCCUCAAAGAGAUCUGCUCCCUGACCAGCAAUAUCCGCAUGCUCCCAUUACCAAAGGCAACAACUAUGUGUCCCAGGACCUGCCUGUUGCUCUGGUACACCUGAUGAAAAUGCCUAUGAAAGCUCUGCUACCCAGAAAAGGGCUGGGAGCUCUACUUGCACACUCAGGUGUCAGGAUGGAGGGGGCAACCACUUCAGUAGCGUAUGCUACUGAAGGAGCACAGGGCGAUACGUGGGUGGUGGGCUUUCAGUGAGGUAGCUGCAUUUACUUGGGACCCUUACAUCAGAAAAACAGUGGUGCAGGCAUGGAUAAUGCUUCUCCCUUUAGGUACUUACUGAUACCAGAGGUGAGACUUUACUGAGUGGUAGCUGAUGAGGCAGCACCUGCAAAGCUAGCUUCAGGAACGCCUGUCCUCAGGCUACCUCACUCUUGGUAAUCCCACUAAGUAAUUAGUUCUUUAGGGUCAUGGAGUGAAGCACUUUUAAAGUGAUCAUCUUGGGAGUCCAGGUGUCAGGAGAAACAACAGGCAGAAGCAGCAUGUCAUGUCACCUUACCAGCAGGAUGUGUCUGUGCUGCGCAUCAGCAAAAGGGUUAAUAUUGUUUGAUGCAAGGCUGAAUCAGCCAGGUGGUGGUAACUGUUACCUCACUCAGAGCCUUUACAUUUCCUCUUGCUCUGCAGUCAUACUGAGAAUGAAGGAGGGCUUAGCCUUACAGAAGUACAAUCACUUGUGCAUCAUAACUAGAAAGCCAGUAUAGCCACAAAGCUGCUUCUGCACAGCACUCAGAACAAUCUUGGUUCUGGCUGGCUUCACGCUGCGCUCCCUACUCUGCUUGUUCUCACACGUACCAGCAGCCCCACAUCACCCAUGCGCUGUGCUGAGCACCUCACUGAAUCCCAGUUCGUGUACGCAGGCACGUAGGCAGCCCUGAGAGUGAGAUCCUGUGCUUGCAGCUUGCAGGCCCCAAGAGCAAGUUUAAGAGCAUCCCUGCAAUGUAUCAAUGUAUUGACAAGCUAGGUUGGGUGGCAGACUCAUCACACCCAGUGCAGUGGUUAUAGAGAGACACAGCAAUGGAACAUUUGCCAGGUGAAGAAUGCAAGCAUGAAUAUCAGAUUGACUUCUUACACGAAUCGGAACAUCAGAUGGGUAGGGAUGAUGCCCUGCUUUCUGGCCUGACCUAUUUUGUCACUUAUCUGUAUGAUAAGGAACAGUCAAGGCUUGUGGCAUCUCACAGUAAGCCUAGGAGAUGGUAAAAAGUGUUUGUUCAGGCAGUUGACCUAUAAAUACAACUGUAGUUUAAAAUGCACAUCAAAUUUUGUAUAUCAGCUUUCCUAUACGGUGUUACUAACCAUUACGUUUCCUUAGGUCACAUUAUUCCUCAAUUAAUGAGAUUGCACAGGUGUAAUCAAAGGCAUAAUGUGAUACCAAUCAGAUUUCAUCAGCAAAGUGCUGUUUCCAGCUGUGAUGGCAUGGGAGAAAGAAGGCCUUAUCUUGAUGUAUUUUCCAGCUAAUAGGAGUACACAAACCUAAUAGUGAGAAAAAUGUUUAAAAAUACCCUUUUUGUGCGAUCAGUAAGAACCAAGAGCUGCAACAUUAUGAUGCUGCUAUUAGAUUCAGUCAUCAUCGGAGGGUAACUUAAUUGUAAUUCUGUAAACCAGGUUAAAAUUUGCUCUUCGAGUUGUUUCCACUUGACAGGGAUAUCUCCUGGAAAUGUUGGCUCAUUGUCCUUAAUUGCAUUUGGGUAUUUUGAACUGAACAUCCACCCCCACAGCAUUUAACUCACAAGUUUGAUAUUUCAGAUUACGUAUGGAUGUUGAGCAUGGAAGGCCUUUACUCCACAAUUAAAACGGUUCAGGUAAAAGUCAUUUACCCUUAAACUGUUAAGCAACUAGCGAAUUUUAACAGCCUGUAUUUAUUUAGUCUUAUGUUAAAUCAGUGUCUCCCGAGCUCUGUGUGCCCAGUUUGAGAAACUGAAUCCACCAAAUUCCCCAAGAACUAACAGAGAUUUCUGUAAAAGUGAGGCUCACUGAGGCUACGUAUUCCAAAUAGAGAGCCAGGCUAUGGUAUUUCAUUUCUCACUCCUCUACCACGACAUAACUCUGCUACAAAGGUGCACUGUGAGAUUUCAGCUUUUAAAUUUUUAGCAGCUGAAGAGCAUCGGUGAGCAUUAAGUAAAAUUUCUUUCAGACUUAGCAAUCUUUACCACAUCUUUUCCUUCUACGUGACAAAACAGAUAAAGGAGUUUGUGGUUUAAAACAUGGACACUAAGCUAACCAUGAUCCAGGUGAAACUGUGAAUAUUGUGCAUUAGAUCCUUUGGAGUAUUUCUGUGCUUUUUUGCUGCUCUCCUACUUUCAUGUAUUAAAUAUUGUCUACAGAUUUCCUGUGUAGGCCCAUCCCCGGGGACUGAAAACCUGGUGUAGACAACUCAUAAAUAAAGCGAGUGAGACAUGAGCAAGAAAAAGCAUAGCAUACUUCUGGGAAUCACUCCAGGAAAAUAAAUGUGCAAGAUGGCACAUCACCCUACACAAAGCUGGCAGAGGUAAAAUAACAUUUGGGUUUGAUCAUGACAGAAAAUAAAAUAAUUCUGUGUUCGGAUGUACGUGUUGGUCUUUCGCUGAAAUGAAAGGGCAAAGGUAAGAGUCCAAAGUCCAAAAGUGGAGUUCUGACUUGCAGGAAGACAAACCUGCUGGUGACCGUUGCAGCUCAUUUAAGUGAAGUGGAGGAUGAAGGCUGGAUUUGAUCCCUCGCUUUCAGAAAGUCUGUGAAUUCUCUAGGAAUGAAUGGCCACCAUCACUUAUUUCCCGUCUCUGUUGCUCGCUAUUUCUGCAGCAUAUGCUUGCUUUUAAAGGACCUUCUAAAUUCUAG